GGGAACAUUAUCAUCCAAGCGAUUAGGACUAGCCCUAACCAAGCGCAGUUCUGGAAACUCUUGCGGAGGCCAUAGACGAAAUACAAGACUCGUUCACGGAGCAUGAAGUUUCGUUCGAUUACGAAGACGAGAACUCCGACGAACCAUUCCGAAACUAAACGCCCACAGAAAAUCACCAUUACGAUUAAACACCAUUUCCAU
rnacentral:misc_RNA from 1 species